rnacentral:rRNA from 1 species
GAUGAACGCUGGCGGCGUGCUUAACACAUGCAAGUCGAACGAAGCAUUUGCGACAGAUUUUUUCGGAAUGAAGUUGCUUAUGACUGAGUGGCGGACGGGUGAGUAACGCGUGGGUAACCUGCCUUGUACUGGGGGAUAGCAGCUGGAAACGGCUGGUAAUACCGCAUAAGCGCACAAUGUUGCAUGACAUGGUGUGAAAAACUCCGGUGGUAUAAGAUGGACCCGCGUCUGAUUAGCUAGUUGGUGAGAUAACAGCCCACCAAGGCGACGAUCAGUAGCCGACCGGAGAGGGUGACCGGCCACAUUGGGACUGAGACACGGCCCAGACUCCUACGGGAGGCAGCAGUGGGGAAUAUUGCACAAUGGAGGAAACUCUGAUGCAGCGACGCCGCGUGAGUGAAGAAGUAAUUCGUUAUGUAAAGCUCUAUCAGCAGGGAAGAUAGUGACGGUACCUGACUAAGAAGCGCCGGCUAAAUACGUG